CCCCGGUUGGUGUAGUGGUUAGCAUUCCGAUUUGCCGAGCCCUUAUGGUUCCUCUUAUGAGGGCCGUCCUUUACAAGGAGGGCAAGCGGGACGCGGGUUCAAAUCCUGCAUCGGGGA